GCUGCUGCUAGCCUCUUCCAGUAUGUUUUGUGAGAACAAGAUGCAAAAACUUUGGAAGAAGUUGCUUACUGUUGCUUUUUAUAAGUAAAGAAGAAAGUGUAAUAGUGGGGCACUGGGCUUUGUGAUGUCGAUGUGCAUCUUUGUCAUUUGGCAGGAUGCUGCUGCUCCUGGAGAAGUUAUAGGGUAGGGCCAGCGGAGGGAUACCUUUUUGGGAAUUUUAAAGGAGAUUUUAUUUCUAAAAAAAAAAAAAGAAAUUCCUAAAAAUCAGGGGAUGGCCCAAACAUUAUGAAACUUUGUGGGCUAACAGUGGUAGAUAUAUCCUCCAAGUGUGGUCAUUUUCAUCCCAAUAGCCCUAAAAUGAUGGGAAGGGAAGCACAGGAAGCACCCCCAUUGCUGCAAAUGGGUUGGAUCUAGCCGUACUUUUUGGUUGCAGUCCGAAAAUGGCUAUUCAGUUACACACCUCUUUUCAGUCAUGCCAGACUAAUCUGAUCUCUUUUUUCGAUAGAGUUACGAGUUGGGUCGAUACAGGGAAUUCUGUGGAUGUAACGUACCUGGAUUUCAGUAGGGCCUUCGACAAAGUCCCCCAUGACCUUCUGGCAAACAAACUAGUAAAAUGUGGGCUAGACAAAACUACGAUCCACCUAACCGUAGUUUUGUCUAGCCCACAUUUUACUAGUUUGUUUGCCAGAAGGUCGUGGGGGACUUUGUCGAAGGCCUUACUGAAAUCCAGGUACGCUACAUCCACAGCAUUCCCUGUAUCGACCCAACUCGUAACUCUAUCGAAAAAAGAGAUCAGAUUAGUCUGGCAUGACUUGUUUUUGGUAAAUCCGUGUUGACUAUUAGCAAUGACCGCAUUUGUUUCUAAGUGUUCGCAGACCACUUCCGUAAUGAUCUUUUCCAGAAUUUUGCCUGGUAUUGAUGUGAGGCUGACCGGACGGUAAUUGUUUGGGUCGUUCUUUUUUCCCUUCUUGAAGAUAGGGUCCACAUUCGCCCUCCUCCAAUCUGCUGGGACUUCUCCCGUUCUCCAAGAACUCUCGAAGAUAAUUGCCAGUGGUUCUGAAAUAACUUCCGCUAGUUCCUUCAGUACUCUUGGGUGUAGCUGAUCUGGCCCUGGGGACUUGAAUUCGUUUAGAGAGGCCAAGUGUUCCUGGACAACUUGUUUCCCUAUUUGGGGUUGGAUUUCCCCCAAUCCUUCGUCCAUUCCGUGUUGCUGAGGUUGAAGAUGGCUUUCUUUUUCUGAGAAGACCGAGGCAAAGAAGGCAUUAAGCAGUUCUGCCUUUUCCCUAUCCCCUGUCACCAUCACCCCAUCUUCUCCUUGCAGAGGCCCUAUCGCCUCCUUUUUCUUCCUUUUUCUACCAACGUAAGCAAAAAAACCUUUUUUGUUGUUUUUUAUGUCCCUGGCAAGCCUGAGUUCAUUUUGCGCUUUAGCCUUGCGAACCUUUUCCCUACAGGUGUUGGCUAUACGUUUGAAUUCUUCUUUGGUGAUUUCUCCCCUUUUCCACUUCUUGUGCAUGUCACUUUUGAGCUUUUGAGGAGGAGGAGAGGAGAGGGGGAGGAAGAGGCGCACUGGCACCUUUUCUCCAGGUGAGGAUUGCAAGCCUGGGAGGAGGAGGUGGGGAUGCGCGCACAUGCAUCUCUCCAGCCACAAGUGCAUAAGCAGGCCUCCCCCUCCCACCUUCCUUCCCAGCCGCGAGCUUACCAGGUUGUGGGUGCCCACAUGCGCAUGGGGAGGAGGAGAGGGGAAGGAAGCGGCACAAUGGCACCUUUUCUCCAGGUGAGGAUUGUGAGCCUGGGAGGAGGAGGCGGGGGUGCAUGUGCAUGCAUGCACACAUGUGCGCAUGCGGGAGGGGGAAGGUGAGGUGUGCCCGGAGGGCGUGGCCCCCCUGUGGGGAGGGGAAAAAAAUAAAGAAAUUAAAAAAAAGCUUCUCAUUUAGGGCAUCAGCACCUCAAAUGCGCCCCCUAGAGGAUGGCGCCUUCAGAAACCACAUAGUUUGCCUAACAGUUGAACCGCCCCUGUGUGUAUCUGAAAUGCAGACUGAGCCUUUAUUUGCAAAAGCUUCUUGCAAAAGAAGGAUAUGGCUACAUCUCUAGAAAGUGCUGUAUGCUGUAUGUAUCUGUUGUAAUCAUGAGUUUGUUGCUUCAAUUGCAAUAAAACACCUGUGGGAAAUAAGAAACUUUCAAAUGAAUUGUCUUCACAAAUAUGGCAGAGCAGAUGGACUGUUUUCUUUUCAUUCUGUGAAUCUAAGCACAGGGUGUUUUUUGACAUUAUUCUUAUUAAUGGAUAUCAAUCGCAUCAUGGAGUAGGUAGGAAAACCUCUCAGAUUUUCCCAGACAGGGCGGAGAUGUCUACAGUCCAGUUUCCUCACUCAAGCGCCCUGCACAUGCUUAG
rnacentral:lncRNA from 1 species